rnacentral:lncRNA from 1 species
GGGGUGCAGAAAAUAAAGAAUGGGAGUACAGGAAGCAAAAUAGUAGAAAACGAAGUUGGGCUAAGAGUAAAAAGCAUGGGCUUGGGUCAGAGUGAAUCUGGAUCGUAUGAUCCAGAUAUGAUGGUGAGGAUGAUGAAGGCGCAUGGUAAGGCAAAAGGUUGGUGCACACUAGAUUCGGGGAGGGUAUAAAUAUCCAUUCCCCCUCAAUUUCUUCAUUCUGAUUUUCUUUCCUCUCUCUGCAACUCCUCUCUCUAAACUCUCCUCCCUCUCUCUAAACAUCUUCUUCUCCGACGAGAACAAACGCCAC